UACGUAGGGUGCGAGCGUUAAUCGGAAUUACUGGGCGUAAAGCGUGCGCAGGCGGUUCUCCAAGUCCGUUGUGAAAGCCCCCGGGCUCAACCUGGGAAUGGCAGUGGAAACUAGGGGACUGGAAUCUGGCAGAGGGGGGUGGAAUGCCGCGUGUAGCAGUGAAAUGCGUAGAGAUGCGGCGGAACACCGAUGGCGAAGGCAGCCCCCUGGGCUGAGAUUGACGCUCAGGCACGAAAGCGUGGGGAGCAAACAGG
rnacentral:rRNA from 1 species